GGACUGGCUGCCAGGAUGGCAGCCAGAAGGAAGGUUGAGGCAUGGAUGCCGAAUCCUGACUGGUCC
rfam:Shimwellia blattae DSM 4481 = NBRC 105725, complete genome.